rnacentral:rRNA from 1 species
AUUGAACGCUGGCGGCAGGCCUAACACAUGCAAGUCGAACGAGUGGCGGACGGGUGAGUAAUGUCUGGGAAACUGCCCGCUGGAGGGGGAUAACUACUGGAAACGGUAGCUAAUACCGCAUACCAUCGGAUGUGCCCAGCUGGGCUUAGCUAGUAGGUGGGGUAACGGCUCACCUAGGCGACGAUCCCUAGCUGGUCUGAGAGGAUGACCUGCCACACUGGGACUUGUGCACGGUCCAGACUCCUACGGGAGGCAGCAGUGGGGAAUAUUGCACAAUGGGCGCAAUCCUGAUGCAGACAUGCCGCGUGUAUGAAGAAGGCCUUCGGGUUGUAAAGUACUUUCAGCGGGGAGGCGUUACCCGCAGAAGAAGCACCGGCUAACUCCGUGCCAGCAGCCGCGGUAAUUC